GAUGAACGCUGGCGGCGUGCCUAAUACAUGCAAGUCGAGCGAACGGACGAGAAGCUUGCUUCUCUGAUGUUAGCGGCGGACGGGUGAGUAACACGUGGAUAACCUACCUAUAAGACUGGGAUAACUUCGGGAAACCGGAGCUAAUACCGGAUAAUAUUUUGAACCGCAUGGUUCAAAAGUGAAAGACGGUCUUGCUGUCACUUAUAGAUGGAUCCGCGCUGCAUUAGCUAGUUGGUAAGGUAACGGCUUACCAAGGCAACGAUGCAUAGCCGACCUGAGAGGGUGAUCGGCCACCUUGGAAGUUGAACACGGUCCAGACUCCUACGGGAGGCAGCAGUAGGGAAUCUGCCGCAAUGGGCGAAAGCCUGACGGAGUAACGCCGCGUGAGUGAUGAAGGUCUUCGGAUCGUAAAACUCUGUUAUUAGGGAAGAACAUAUGUGUAAGUAACUGUGCACAUCUUGACGGUACCUAAUCAGAAAGCAACGGCUAACUACGUG
rnacentral:rRNA from 1 species